GUCCCCACACUACAGACUCGAGACUCAUCUAUCCAGAAGAGAGGUGAUUCAUACGUGAUCUUAAAUGAAUUGAUUACUAUCCUCUAUGACAAUCUUAUUAUCAGGAGCAUUUAAAAAUUAGUUACUAAUGAUGUAUGUCUCAAAUUUUCAACACCUUGAAAAUAUACAAAAUCAUCUUUGUUAAUUUCUUGGACAAAUCAUGGACACAUACAACAUAAUUGGUAAUUAAAAGUUACCCGACAAGUAUAAAAAUAUAUCCUAGAGAAAAAUAUGC
rnacentral:lncRNA from 1 species